rnacentral:rRNA from 1 species
AACCAGCACCUCGGGUGGUCAGGAGGUUUAUUGGGCCUAAAGCAUCCGUAGCCGGUUGCAUAAGUUUUCGGUUAAAUCUAUGCGCUCAACGUAUAGGCCGCCGAAAAUACUGUGCAGCUAGGGAGUGGGAGAGGUACACGGUACUCAAUAGGAAGGGGUAAAAUCCUUUGAUCUAUUGAUGACCACCUGUGGCGAAGGCGGUGUACCAGAACACGUUCGACGGUGAGGGAUGAAAGCUGGGGGAGCAAACCGG